CCUACGGGGGGCUGCAGUGGGGAAUAUUGCACAAUGGGCGAAAGCCUGAUGCAGCAACGCCGCGUGAGCGAUGAAGGCCUUAGGGUCGUAAAGCUCUGUCCUUGGGGAAGAAAAAAAUGACGGUACCCAAGGAGGAAGCCCCGGCUAACUACGUGCCAGCAGCCGCGGUAAUACGUAGGGGGCAAGCGUUAUCCGGAAUUAUUGGGCGUAAAGAGUACGUAGGUGGUCUUUUAAGCGCAGGGUUUAAGGCAAUGGCUUAACCAUUGUUCGCCCUGUGAACUGGAAGACUUGAGUGUAGGAGAGGAAAGUGGAAUUCCUAGUGUAGCGGUGAAAUGCGUAGAUAUUAGGAGGAACAUCAGUGGCGAAGGCGACUUUCUGGACUAUUACUGACACUGAGGUACGAAAGCGUGGGGAGCAAACAGGAUUAGAUACCCUAGUAGUC
rnacentral:rRNA from 2 species